rnacentral:rRNA from 1 species
UAGGGAAUCUUCGGCAAUGGGGGGAACCCUGACCGAGCAACGCCGCGUGAGUGAAGAAGGUUUUCGGAUCGUAAAGCUCUGUUGUUAAGGAAGAACGAGUGUGAGAAUGGAAAGUUCAUACUGUGACGGUACUUAACCAGAAAGUCACGGCUAACUACGUGCCAGCAGCCGCGGUAAUACGUAGGUGGCAAGCGUUAUCCGGAUUUAUUGGGCGUAAAGAGAGUGCAGGCGGUUUUCUAAGUCUGAUGUGAAAGCCUUCGGCUUAACCGGAGAAGUGCAUCGGAAACUGGAUAACUUGAGUGCAGAAGAGGGUAGUGGAACUCCAUGUGUAGCGGUGGAAUGCGUAGAUAUAUGGAAGAACACCAGUGGCGAAGGCGGCUACCUGGUCUGCAACUGACGCUGAGACUCGAAGGCAUGGGUAGCGAACAGGAUUAGAUACCCUGGUAGUCCAUGCCGUAAACGAUGAGUGCUAGGUGUUGGAGGGUUUCCGCCCUUCAGUGCCGGAGCUAACGCAUUAAGCACUCCGCCUGGGGAGUACGACCGCAAGGUUG